AGAUUGAACGCUGGCGGCAGGCCUAACACAUGCAAGUCGAGCGGUAAGGCCUUUCGGGGUACACGAGCGGCGAACGGGUGAGUAACACGUGGGUGAUCUGCCCUGCACUCUGGGAUAAGCCUGGGAAACUGGGUCUAAUACCGGAUAUGACCUGCUCGUCGCAGUGGGGGUGGUGGAAAGAUUUAGCGGUGCAGGAUGGGCCCGCGGCCUAUCAGUCUUUGGUUGGUGGGGUAAUGGCCUACCGAAGGCGACGGACGGGUAGCCGACCUGGAGAGGGUGACCGGCCACGACGUGGGACUGAGACACGGCCCAGACUCCGUACGGGAGCAGCGAGGUCGGGAAU
rnacentral:rRNA from 1 species